rnacentral:rRNA from 1 species
CGAUUCGCCCUUCGGGGUGCCCAGGCGCGAAAACUUUACAAUGCGGGAAACCGUGAUAAGGGAACUCCGAGUGCCCGUAAAAUCGGGCUGUCCAUCUGUUUAAAUAACAGGUGAAGAAAGGGCCGGGCAAGACCGGUGCCAGCCGCCGCGGUAAUACCGGCGGCUCGAGUGGUGGCCACUAUUACUGGGCUUAAAGCGUUCGUAGCUGGUCUGUUAAGUCUCUGGGGAAAUCUACUGGCUUAACCAAUAGGCGUUUCAGGGAUACUGGCAGACUAGGGACCGGGAGAGGUGAGGGGUACUCCAGGGGUAGGAGUGAAAUCCUGUAAUCCUUGGGGGACCACCUGUGGCGAAGGCGCCUCACCAGAACGGCUCCGACAGUGAGGGACGAAAGCUGGGGGAGCAAACCGGAUUAGAUACCCGGGUAGUCCCAGCCGUAAACGAUGCGCGUUAGGUGUAUCGGUGACCACGAGUCACCGAGGUGCCGAAGAGAAAUUGUGAAACGUGCCGCCUGGGAAGUACGGUCGCAAGGCUGAAACUUAAAGGAAUUGGCGGGGGAGCAC